UAAAGGAAUUUCUCAAGGGAUUUCCUCCCCUCCUCUCCUCUUCCUCCCGUUCCUCCCCUCCCGCCGCCUCCCGCCCCGUCUUUACCCCUCCCGGUCCCUAUGAGUCAAACUUCAGCAAUGUGCCCAGUGUCUCCCAGUGCAUUACAGCGGAUCACAGAAAUGUUCCAGUCUGUGAGUUGGAAUGCGGCCGCCUCCAGCCCUCCUUGGGCUAGUAAACUCGGCUCCGGUGGCUUUACGCAGCAGCCCUCCCUGCCCCCUCCUUUUCAGCAGGUCGAGGUCAUAUUCAGGGGUCAGGGGCUGCGGACCUCACCGCUCUGCUUUCUGGCGUAGCCUGUCGGCCCUGUCGCCUCUAGCAAUCUGCUGGGUCAGAGACACAGCGGUUCCUGGGAAGGGAAGAGGUCCACGACUCUGAGCGGGCUCUCCUGUAGUGUGAGGCAAGCACCGAGGCCGGUUGCGGCUUCUCUCCAUCCCAUCCUACCUCCCUCUGUUCUGGGAACCGCAAGAUUCUCACAGUUCUACAGAAGCAGAAACUGAGGCUGAGCCAGACACAGAGGCACAUCAGAGGUGAAGCAAGGGUCCACAGUGGCCGAGCAGGGCUUGGCCACGCCCAGGUCUAGCUUUUGCCCACUACUCCCUGUUCCUGCAAGCAGUGCCCUCCUCGCUGCCUGUUGCUACCUUGGAGUUCAGCUGCUGGCUUCCUACGUCAGUCCUUUCCUCCCGCUCAUUCAACAGACAGAUCCUAGACCUUUGCAUUUAUUAAAUUAUCCUCACACACUCCUUUCCUGCCCUCCAUGCCCUGCUACAACAUGGCACCACCGCAUUACACACCUCUCCUACUGUUCUGCUCAGUGCCUCCUGGUACUUAAUGCUCAAUGAUGUUGGUCGUUAUUAUUACUAUUAUUAUUUCAGCCAAACUGGUCUGUUUGCAGCUUCCCAUCAUGACCAACUCCUGACCUUGGUUUAUCUAGUUCCCUCCCAAAAUGGAUGUCUUCCCAGUCCCUUUCUCUUCCUGUGGAAAUCUUCCCAGUCCUCAGGGUCUAUACCACCUCCUCCACUUUCCCUGAUUAUCAUAGCUAAAGGGAUUCUUUCCUUCCCUUAAAGUACCCCACCCAGCACAUUGUCAGUCUUUCUCUCUACAUUGACAUUCACCCACCUACUCUAUCUCAAUUCUCCUUCUCUUUCCGGAGAAUGUUCAAAGGUGGACAUCCCCUGAGCCCGGCUACUGUCUUAGCACAGUUCUUAUAGGGUCUUGCCAAGUGCCUUGCACAGAAUUCAAGCUCCCUAUGGGUUAUUUGUUGAAUUGAGACAGAGGUUCAUGGCCUUCAAGGACCGUCCCCUAGCUAGACACCACCACUGCACCCUUCUUUCCCAUGCCUCCCCAUGCUGACUUGGCAAGACACAUGUCCCUCCACCUCGUGUGUGUGCUUCACAGCCCUCACCUUUAAGCCAGACCUCCCUCCUUCCAUAUCCUUUCUCUGUGCCCACAGCCUCCAGAAGAAUUGCUUGGUUACUUCAGACUCCCAGCCUUUCCCCUGUUGUCUCUGUCCUUUGGCGCCACAGUGUCCCCACCUAAUAUCCACCAGGACUCCUGUACCUAUUUGUGAACUGAAAUCAGGCCCUUGUUUGCUCAUUUCUACCAUGAGCAUCAUCCAUCUGUUUGUGAGCCUUCUUUUUCUUUUUGACCAGAUCACUGAGUUCUGAGAGAUUUCAACAAAAAGGGUAUCUCCCCCUGCCUCAAUCUGUGUCCACAGUGCCCAGCACAUGGCUUUUUACACACCGCAGGACUCACUUCCCCCAAAGUAUAGACAGAGAGAAAAACUGUAAGAUUUACAUCUGGGAAGCUGGACUGUGCUCCUCUUUCCCCUCCUAGCUUUCCUUACCUCUCCAUCACUAUCACCACCCCCACUGCAGAGUCUUAAGCCAGUUUCUAAGUCGCACAUCCCCUGCUGGGGAAUCUUACAGAGCCACCAGGAACCCUAAGAGGCAUGAGGCUGAGAAGUGCAAAUGACUUCUCUUUCCUCUACCCUAAUCACCAUGGGAAGUUUUUAAAAAGGCUCUUGACUCCAGGCCUCUCACAGACUGCCCAGCUAAGCACCCAACUGAGGGGAUGAGCCCUGGGAGACCUGCCUUGACUCCCUCAAGUCUUCCUGGAGGCUCUGGCCAGGACACAGCUUGAGGACUCCCAUCUUCUGCUUCUCUUUGGGGUUCUGGGCCUACUUGACCUCCUUCUCUUUUUCUUUCUCCUCUUCUUCUACCUUUUACUGACUGUUUACCAUGUAACAGCCUUCUGCUAUCCCCUUAGGAAACAUUAGAUAAUUUAAUCUUAACAGUAAUCCUUAUGCUCAUGAUUAAAGAAUGACCUAUAGAGGUUGAGAAAAACCUGACCAAAAUUAUACAACUAGUAAAUGAUGGGGCCAUUGAUUCAUUCAGCAAAUAUUAUUGUUGCCCACCUUGUGCCAGGAUUCAAAGCUCCAGAAAGUCAUCUGGUCUAAACCUCAGGACACUGAGACCACUUCUGUCCCAGCCUUCUAGAUGUGGUCACUGAAGCCACAGUUCCUCCCCGAAGCCGCACUUCCCACACUUCGUCUACAAAGCCAGUGAGACAGUGCUCGGCCCCAAUGCCUCGGUGGGAUUUCAGAGGACAGCCAUGGCGGGAAGUUGGGUUGGGCUUCGCAUUUAAGUUUCCAAACCUGGAAUCAAAUGCUAAUACACAGGGUUUGGGACUGGCAGACUAAAAGGGGAGGUAGAUCCCCAAGGGUUUCAGGGGACCAGACAUAGCAAGUGGAAGGCAGCAGGGCAGGAAGGAAGAGAAGAAGGCAGGAAAGGAGGGAAGGAUAGGAGAGAAGAUAAUUAGGAUUGAGUGUUCGUUUGUAUUAUGUGCUGCUCAAGGCCCUUACACUUAUAUCUCAUUAUUGUCCUCAAUGUUUUAGUGAGCAAACUAAAGCUUAGAAAGACAAAAUGAUUUGCCCAUGUCCACAGAGCCCGUAAGUGACUUAAUCCCAAGUGUGUUGAUUCAGAGCCUGUGCAGUUUCUCCUAGCAGGUGGAAACAAUGCAGAAGCUGCUGCCAGCAUCCUGCCCCCGUGUGAACCUGGUCACUUGAGGUCCUGGCCAAUCGGUGUGUGACAUCCUAGAUGCCAAGUUACCUCCCUCACUGCCCCCCACCAUGCUGUCUCAUCCCUGGUUCCCACCUUUCCCUGUUGCACUGUUCUUGGGCACAAAGGCCAAAGAAGCCACAGUCCCUGUCACUGAGGAAUUUGUCAUCUCCUGGAGAGCAGGGCACAGCUACAAAAAGGCCAGAGAGGGAGAAGACUGCCAGGAAGGACUCCAGUGGCCCGCGCUGCCAAGGACAUCUGUGCGCACAGAGUCACAGGAGGCCCACGCUGAAGGUGGUGUAGCUGAUUGCCAGGUCCUUGUGGGCCAGGGCAGCUCUCCGACCUGCCCGCUUCUGUGCUCGGAGCAGGGUUCUAGAAGUCUCUGCCCUGUCGAAUCCGUCAUGCCAGCUCUGCCUGAGUGAAUAGGGGCAGGAGGACACUGUCUCCCCAUGGCAGACCCUGAGGCUGGGUUCCAUGCUUCUCCGCUAUGAGCUUUCAAGGAACCAUUUAGAAACCUGUAGAGGAAUGGCUGCAGCUGGGCAGUGGUGUUGCGGUUAAAGCCAGACCUGGAGUCAGGCUGCCUGGCUGGAGCUUGUUGCUCACCCACUGCAUAAUCUAAGCACGUUCUUUCGCCCCUCAGAAGCUCCUCACUUGCAUACUGGGGUGUGAAGUGCCUAUCACCUUAGGGCUGCUGGGAAGAUGAUGAGAUGGGGACUUGACGUGCUUAUUACAGAGCCUGGUGCACCCCAGGCUCCCCGUAAGGUUCCAGCUGCAUGCAGACAUUAGAAAACUAAGUCCUGUCUCUCUGUCCCACUAAGCUGCAGUUUUCCUCUGCAAAUUCGGUCUGAAAAUGAAUACUGACCUAAUUUGUGCAAAUAAAUCCAAAGAGGUUUAUAGCCCAAGCUGACCCUUCUGGGAUGCACAGGAUAUGGCCAGGCUGUGGGAACGGGCAAAAUAUGUGGAACCUUCCCAAUCCUGCUGGUACUCAAGGUGUGGCCUCAGAGCUGACUCAGAGUUGAGGGCAGCCUGGAUCGGGGUACAGGGAAAGCCCGCACUGACUGCAAAGGGCCUCACCUCCACUCUGGCACUACAUCUGGAGUGACCGGCACAUCUGGUUACAUCCCUGGGGCAAUGGCCACAGCUGCUGACAUUUGAGGGAGGAGAGAUCUGGCUCCCCAGCAAGGGCCUGGGGGACUAUAAAUAACUAGCUAAGAGGACCAGGGGGAUGAGGUUGACCUUUUGGGGGGGCAGGAGCGCCUGGCUACUUUCCCCACCCCCUUGGGUCCAGAGCCAGAGUUUUAGCAAAACAGGAAGAGGCAGCAGCUGCUGGGAAAGUAGGAGUGGCUCCCCUUCCUCCACUUGCCUGGGGCCUUCGGAUCCCAGCCAGGACCUGGGAGAGGUGGAGUCUUGGGGAUGUUGGGGGAGGGUGCAGAGGGAGGGGCAGACCCAUGCAGACUGUGGCCCCAGCUUCUGGUGCCCUCCUAUGGCUCAGCUGGGGCAUAGGCCCGGGAGAAUGAGCCAGAGAAGGGCAGCCUAGUGUUCUGUGCCCACCGCCCUUCCCCCUCCCAUUCCCUUUCUGUUCCCCUUUCAGUGGGACAACAGGGAGGACAGGCAUUAGGAAGGAGAGUAAAACAUGCCUGUGAGCCGGGGAGUGUAUCCAGAGGCGCAGCAUGACGCCAAGCCCACCCUUUUCUCAUUCCCUCCCAGACUACAGGUGGGCUGAGCCUGAGCCCAGGAGGGGUGGACAGAGCCCUCUGGGCAGGCGGAUGCAUGCCUCUGGGCUUCUGGAGAGGGGCCCAGGGCCUGGUCCUGCGGGAUGAUGGGGAACUUCCCCACAGACGGUUUGAGCUGGGGAGAUCCAAGGCUUUGGGGUGGCUCUCGGUGGCUGUUUUCCUGGAGUAACAGAACCCCCACAGGGGUGAGCUCUGGGGGGCCAUGGCACGGCUCAGAGGGCCCCAGGAAAUCCAGGAUCAAAGGAGCCUUGCCUGGGGCAGACGGACCACCCAGAGUCUGUCCUUCCGUGUUUAGCUGGCUGGUGACGUCCGGCCGGAGCCUCCGCUGCCCAGGCUCCAGGCUCUGCGUCUGCCUGUGUCACGCCCCCUCCCUGCGCCUCAGCUGGGAGCCCCGUGUUUUGCCUGCUGGAGAAUCUAGACGGCGCACCACCCUAUAGAAUCAGAAGGUGAACCACAUAUGUAACCUUACAUUUUCUUUAAAAAAAAAAGCUAAAAUAAAUAGGUGAUGUAAUUUUAAUAGUAUACUUAUUUAACCUAAUAUAUGUAAAACCUUUCAGCAUAUAAUCAAAACAAAAAGUUACUGAUGA